rnacentral:misc_RNA from 1 species
AGCGUAGAUUAGCAUAAUUUCUUUCACCUACCUCCUCCUCUGUAUUCUUCUCUGGUGAAAAAAAGAUCCAAUUUUGAACGAAGAAAGCCAUGGAUGUGGCACCAGAACAACAACAAAACUUGAGUUUACCCUCACUUUUCAAAGAAUCACUUUCCAUCCCAAAGAGAUCUCCACAAACUUUUUACAGAAUCACUCUCAGCUUAAUCUUGCCACUCUCUUUUGCAAUCUUAGCUCAUUCCUUCUUCACCCAUCCCAUUCUCUCUCAACUCCAUGAAAACCCAAGUGCUUCUCAUGCCUCUCAAUGGACCAAACUCCUCUUUUACCAAUUCUGUUACUUAAUCUUCCUCUUGGCCUUCUCCCUCCUCUCAACCUCUGCUGUUGUCUUCACUGUCGCUUCUCUCUACACUUCAAAACAGGUCUCCUUCUCCUCAAUAAUCACUGCUCUGCCUAGUAUCCUAAGACGCCUCUUCAUCACUUUCCUAUGGGUUUUCCUCUCUAUGCUCGUGUACAACGCCGUCUUGUCCUUUUUCAUUGUACUCAUGCUAAUCGCCUUUGAGAGCAAAAGCAAAAACAGUACUGCUCUGUUUUUAGUCUCUGUUUUUCUUCUCUCUGUUUUCUUCCUUGUUGUUCAUGUCUACUUGAGUGCUUUAUGGCAUCUUGCUAGUGUGAUUACGGUUCUCGAACCGAUACAAGGCCUUGCUGCUUUCAAGAAAAGCUACGAGUUGUUGAAAGGGAAAAUCAGAAUGGCUUCUGUGCUGAUUUUAGGGUAUCUGGUGAUUUUUGGUGUGGUUAGUAGUGGUUUUGGUUCCAUUGUUGUGGAUGGUGAAGGGUACAGUGUUUUUGUUAGGAUUGCUGUUGGAGGGAUUUUGAUUGGUGUUCUUGUGGUGGUGAUAUUGGUGGGGCUAUUGGUGCAGAGUUUGUUCUAUUAUGUUUGCAAGAGUUAUCAUAAUGAGAGGAUUGAUAAGAGUGCUUUGUAUAAUCAUCUUGGUGGAUAUUUGGGUGAGUAUUAUGAACCUCUGAAAGGGAACAUGCAAAUUGAUGAUACCUUGGAAGUAGAGAUGAAAGGUGGAGACACUGCUUGAACCUUUUCUUUUUUUUUUUUUUAUGAGUUUUGGUGUUUGAGAUAAAAUGUACAAUUAAUAAAAUCUUAGCACUUCAUUUUCCCUUUUUUUUUAAUGUUUAGUUAUAUAUGUAUGGGUAAUGAAAUGAAAUGCAAUU